UCUGGUUGGAUGGUCACAUUGGAGACCAAGACUGGAAUGUCACAAGGAUUCCACUGAAGAAAACUACUGCACUUUUAUGCAGGGAUUGACGUCCCAACAGACACUGAUUAGGCUAAUUGCUACCCGUUUUUGCAUAUAUAAACAACAAGUUCGAUGCUUCCUUCCAGCAUGUAACCAACCUGACACCACAAAGUGUUCGAAAAGUGACAGAAUGGAUAUCCGGAGACCGGAUCAUUUUGAAUUAACACGCACAAUGCUGACAGUCAACGUCUCAAUCUGUUACAGCUGUUGUUCUUGGCCUGAGCAGCAACUCUGUAUUGGCUCAGGAUGAUUUGGUUGCUCCAGCAGCUACAAGUGAGCAAGCUGAUGUAAAUGUUACUGGCCUACCUCGUAUAGAAGAUGAUUUAGUGAUCUCAAAUGAUCACACUAUCAAAUGGUGAAUGUGCACCGAUAAAGCAUGGAAGUUUUUCUUGUGUUACUAGUGUCCGGCCAGAAUUAGUAAGGUUUUUUGGUUUUGUCACUCCUUUGUUAUAUGGAAGAAGACUUCAUGGUAGAAGAUAGCGACAGCGUGCUGCCGGAUAAUGAGAUGUUGAAGCAGCAGACUGAAUCCAUGACACCGAAGUGCAAUUGCGGCAGAUUAUCUCUAUCUUUUCUUUUCAUUUUUCUUAUUAUUGAGUGAGAACAGAAUGAGGAACUGUGUGAUAGUACAUACAACAACUGUAGUAAAAAGAAACUUAUGUUUGCAAUUGUUAAUGACAUAGAUACUUGCAUGUUCUUUGAA